rnacentral:rRNA from 1 species
AUACGAAAGGUGCAAGCGUUGUUCGGAUUUACUGGGCGUAAAGAGAGUGUAGGUGGUUUAUUAAGUCGGAUGUGAAAUCCCGGGGCUCAACCUCGGAACUGCAUUCGAUACUGAUAGGCUAGAGCUUGGGAGGGGUAAGCGGAAUUCCGUGUGUAGCAGUGAAAUGCGUAGAUAUACGGAGGAACACCUGAGGCGAAGGCGGCUUACUGGACCAAUACUGACACUGAGACUCGAAAGCGUGGGUAGCAAACAGAAUUAGAAACCCUAGUAGUCC